AUAUGCUAAUGUGUGGAAGCUGUUUCAUUGCAAAGAUAGUUGAAAAGGUACUGGAAAAUAAGGUAUGGCAUACCCCAACAACAGAAUGGUGUGGGCGUAUAACGGUCAUGAUCAUAUGCUCAUGCUGGAUAUUGGCUGGAACUGGAAGAGGCUGUCGUACGCGUCGAUCCAGAGCAUCCCAAACGUGCUCAAUGGGUGACAUGUCUGAUAUUGGCUGGAACUGGAAGAGGCUGUCGUACGCGUCGAUCCAGAGCGUCCCAAACGUGCUCAAUGGGUGACAUGUCUGCUCAUGAAACAUGGGACCAACACUUUUGCGUUUUUAUUUUUGUUCAGCGAAGAAGAGGCUCUCCAUUUUGGCAAUCGGUCCAUCUGGUCUGAUAUUACUGUGUCUCGUCAGUGAAUCAGUGCUGUUCUAAAGUAGGUCACUUGUUGCAGAUCCAGCAAACAAACACAGAUCCAAUAUUGCCUGCAUGAUGAAAAAAAGAUGUUCAAAAUAAAAGUAAAC